UCUACCCGUUGGUUGUAUUACAAUGCCAUCCAAUGUGUAUCCGUCUCAGAUGUUCAGCCUGAUCACAUACUAUCUUAUCAAAAUACAGAACAAGAGAUCACCAUUACUGUACAGCAGCUUCCAACCCUCAAAGACAACGAACAAUACCAGUGUGCCUUCGACUCUUUCCUGGUCAAUGCUGUUACAACGUCCGACACAGUAGUUUGCACAACUCCUCCUGUGGACGAAUUGCCUACAAUUCCUGAAGAAGAUGACCAUAAGAUUUUGACCCUUUCCAUUUUCUCAACGGAGACCACAGUUUACUUCAUAAGCACGGAUUUUAUCUUGUUUGACUGCACCCAUCAUAAAUCGUAUGUAACAAACUUCACUGGAUAUUUUAACACAGCGCCUUU